rnacentral:rRNA from 1 species
CGGACGGGUGGGUAAUGUAUGGGGAUCUGCCUGAUGGCGGGGGAUAACUACUGGAAACGGUAGCUAAUACCGCAUAAUGUCUGCGGACCAAAGCGGGGGACCUCCGGGCCUCGCGCCAUCAGAUGAACCCAUAUGGGAUUAGCUAGUAGGUAAGGUAACGGCUUACCUAGGCGACGAUCCCUAGCUGGUCUGAGAGGAUGAUCAGCCACACUGGGACUGAGACACGGCCCAG